AACUUUCAGCAACGGAUCUCUUGGCUCUCGCAUCGAUGAAGAACGCAGCGAAAUGCGAUAAGUAAUGUGAAUUGCAGAAUUCAGUGAAUCAUCGAAUUUUUGAACGCACCUUGCGCUCCUUGGUAUUCCGAGGAGCAUGCCUGUUUGAGUGUCAUUA
rnacentral:rRNA from 1 species